rnacentral:tRNA from 1 species
GCAAGUAUAGUUUAACUAAAACAUUAGACUGUGAYUCUAAAAAUAGAAGUUAAAUUCUUCUUACCUGCC